UCCACGCCGUAAACUAUGAUUACUCGUUGUCGGCGAUACACAGUCGGUGGCUAAGCGAAAGCGAUAAGUAAUCCACCUGGGGAGUACGAUCGCAAGGUUGAAACUCAAAGGAAUUGACGGGGGCCCGCACAAGCGGAGGAGCAUGUGGUUUAAUUCGAUGAUACGCGAGGAACCUUACCUGGGCUUAAAUGUAGAUUGCAUGAUGGGGAAACCUAUCUUUUCUUCGGAACUAU
rnacentral:rRNA from 1 species